GGGUCGUGAGAAAAUACGCAGGAAGAGAUACCCUGUGGACAUGUUUCCCUUGGAAAGUGGAUGGAACCCUCUGAGCCGUGAUUCCGCCUGAAUUAAGCAGUGGCGGGCAGUGGCCUGGCAGGCGGCUUCUGCGGCCUUGGAUUUGCACCUCUAAGGGGUCACAGGGGCCACCCCCGAAGCAAGACAAAGUGUGAUCAUGAACAGGCCCUCGGGGGGCCAGAAGAAGGAACGGCUCCAGUGAUGAAGGCUGAACGCCAGCUCUCUCCCCUUGGUUCUCCCGGCCCAGGAGAGGGCUGCUCGGCAGGGCUGGGUUUAAAAACCUUCCAUGCAACUGGCAAAGGCAUCCACAGUGACUUCUGCUGCUGCGGUACGUUCUGCCCUCCCCUCCUCCCCACCCCAUCCUAUUCUCGGCGACAAGUGAUUUAUAUGUACAGUGUCAUCUGAACGUGCAUGGGCCGAUCCCAGGACAUCACACACAAAGAGGCUGCGGUGAACCCAAGCCGCCGGGCCAGCCUGUGGCUGUGUCUGUUCCAGAAGUCCCGGCCCCAGGCGGCUGUCCUGAACAGGGCCACUGGAACUCAGGAGGGUCAGGACCACAGCCCAAACAACUGUGACCGAAAACACCCUACAGGGCUUGAGAACUAAAAAAUAGGAGGGAUCUGGGCAGCCGAGCUGCCUCCUAAAGAAGCCACGUCGUAGAGAAAACUGCCUGCUCUAUCUAUGAGACAGAGGCGGCCAGGGUGUCCUGCCAGCAGACAUGGGUCUGUCCAUCACCGGCCACCACGCUGCCUCUGUCCUUCACUCCCAUUUAAGGGAAAACGAUAUCUCUUCAUCUUUCUGCCCUGGACAUUGGAAAACAGCAGUGAGAGCAGUGCUCUUGCUAUAAAAUGCUCAGGUUCUAGAAUGCUCCCAUCUUUCCUUCCAUUCCACGUGGAGUUUAUCCAAAGAACAAAGGCCAGUCAUGGCACUGACGUCCGUGAUGCCUGCUCGCCGGGGAGCGAGAAACAGAAGCCUGUCCUCAGAGGACUGGGAGCCCACAGCUGCUUGUGGGUGGGGCCAGCCCGCAGCUCCUCCUGGAGGCCCUGGGCUUCUUGACGCUGCAUUUCUGUGACACGUGGAGGGAGGAUCGUUUUGACACCUGCCUGGGAAGUUUCAAAGGAGAUAGCUUCUGGGCAGGGGUUUUAAACCGAAGGGCACCACACAGAUCCAGAUGUGAACUGUGGCUGUUGUUUGCAAUUGAAGCAGAGAUGCAGAGGAUGCAACAGGAGUGCCGGCCACACUUCUCUAUGGCCUUGGCCCAGCCAAGACCCCCAGUCAAUGGGUCUACAGGACCCCCGCUACACAGGGACCUGGGAAACACCUUUGCUGCGGUCGACCACUGGGUCCGCCGUGCACCGCCCACACCUGGCUGUGCCUGGAGACUGAGAGCAGGGGGUGACGGUGGGCCUGGAAGAGUCUCUCCCUUUUGCAAAUGCCAGCCACAGAGGUUUAUUUUUCUCCCUGAGAGAAAGAAGAGUGAAGGCUGAGACUGAGACAGAGGGACAGAAGGAAAAGACUUAGAAGCCAGCGAGUCCGGAGCCAUGAGAUGCGCUCCGAGGACACAGGCCUCGGGGAAACUGGGCACGGGCAGGGGUUGGUCUUGGCUUCGCCACAACAUUGCUGCGAGCUCGGGUGCCGUCUCCACUCGCAGGCUGGCCUGUCCUCUGCAGCCACAAGCUCAGGCACCGUCUCCAUUCAUAGGCCGGCCUGUUCUCUGCAGCCUGAGGUCCCUGUGGUGCCAACAUCCAGAUGCUGAGAUAAUUCUGCCAGGGUGUUGGCUGAUCGGUGAUUGGUGGUUGGCUGUUCUGUGAGUUCUGCAUUGAUCUUGCUGGCUAAGCAUCCAAUACGGAGGGGCAGGCGCUGUUAGGGUCUCCACUCCCAUCCCUCUCCCCAGGACUCAUCACCCACUGCAACCGUAAGCUGCUAGGGGCUCACAGCCAUGAGUCUUUGGGAGGGGUCCCACCUGGCAUGCAGCUCAGGCUCCCAGCCCCAGGACCCGGCCGCCGCUCCCCUCCCGCCCACAUCUUGGCUUAGCUGUCUUCCCUGGCUGCCAGCCCCUUCCCCUGGUCUUAGUUGACUUGGGCCACUAAACUGAAAUAGCACACCCUGAGGACUUCAACAGCAGACCUGAUUUCUCACCAUCUGGAGGCUGGAGGUCCAGGAUCCAGGCCCCCAAGGCUGCUUUCUCCCCCACUCCCCCACCCACCCUCCAGGGCACGCAGACUCCACCCUCUUGCUGCCCUGUCUCAGGGCUGUCCCUCUGGGCAAGCAGGCCCCUGGCAUCCCUGUGUGUCCUCUCCUCCUGUUCUUAUAAGGACACCGGUCAUACUGGAUCCGGGCCCACCCUAGUGACCUCAUUUACCUUAAUCACCUCUUGAAAGAGCUUGUCUCAACAACAGCCACAUUCUGGGGCACUGAGGGUUAGGGCUUUAACAUGGGAAUUUGAGGGAUGCAAUUCACCCCGUAAAACCCAGACCGUUCCCCCAAUAAAUCACUUUCACAAGAGCUCUUCUCUCAGGCUUUGCUUCUGGGGGAUCCCCCUUGAUAUGGAUCCAUCUAGCUUCCUGCUUCUCAAAGAACGGAGGGGAGAGCCCUAGUGUGAAGGGAACGGGUGGCCUCGGGGACCUGCGGAUAAGCUGCUGGCACUGCCAGGGGACAGGCUGAGCUGAAAGCCAGGAGGAGGGUGGCGAGGCCCGCGGCUGGACCUCAUUCUUCUGAGUAUUAUAAAGUCUGGCUUUGCUCAGAAA
rnacentral:lncRNA from 1 species